AGGAGUCGGUGGCGAGGAGGAUGUUGAACUCGGCCCCCGCCGUCGCGCACUCCAUGUCGCCGAGCCCGAGGAGGCGCCGCCGCCCGCACGGACAGGACUGAGCUGCACCGCCUCCCGCCGCCGCCAGACGCUCGGGCCCAGGCACCCAGCUGGCAAGGUGGCUAAGGGAGCUCCCAGGCAGAGGAGCUAGACACUGUGUUCAGACAUCCUUCAGGAUAGGCUGUGCCAGGAGUUGCCCUGACUGCAAAUGUCACAGGCCAGAAGAGGAAAUAUACAGUCAUGGUUCAGGGUGAAAGCAGUCAAAUUCUGUAUAAGCUGCCAAAAAAAGAUCCAGCCUUCGUCGUCGCGGGGUGCAGGCGGCACGGGAGCCCACACAGGCAGCACUUCUGCUGGAGCCCGCAGGAAAAGCGACUUACUUCUAGGAGCAAAACACCCACGCCGCUUGUUUUCCUGGAGGGCGACAUCUCUCCAAAACAGCCUUGCCCGGGCCCGGGGGAAUCGGGUAGCCAGCCAAACACCCGCCUCUGCCUGAGGGCUGCACAGGGCCGCCCGCGCAGCAAAGGCUGGGGCACGGUGCGGGUCCGCAGCGCCUUGCUCCUGGCCCAAGCAUCCAGACGGGGCCCGAGGGCGGCCCGUCCCAGCCCAGCAAACCGGCACCCAAAAUCGAGCUGCAGGCGCCUGGCACGGACCAGCUCCUGUCCACGUCUUCGCCACGUCUGUAUUAACGCUGCAGCCGCUUUCUUUCCCGGAGAUGACCCACACGUGGGAAAAAGCCAUGCGAGCCGCAGGGAAGCCCAUCCUGCGCUCUGCACCCCGCGGCGUUCGGGAGAGGCUGGGGCUGCCGGGGAAGCUGCUCCCACUGCGCGCCGAGGGGCUGCUCAGCGCCGCAUGGACUGAGGAGCCACCCACGGGUCUCCACGAGCCCGCGAGAGCGACUCCUUUCCCCCUGCUGCCCUGGGAAAAAUGUAGCCGAGGGCAUUUGGCCAACACUCCUCACCUCAGCCAUCCUAUUACAUUAUCUGCAUUAAUAUACCGCUUUGUUAAAUGUAACACUCGGGGUAAAAGCCAAUUUCUCAGAGCCUGACUGGGGCAGGAGCAACCUUGCCUGUAAUUAAAAGCAGGCUACGAUGCCCUCCGCUCUCGCAGGAGAGCUCUCUGCCUCCGUCACGCGUGUGCAGCGCCAUGCAGCUGCUCUGCUGCAACCCAGAGGGGCACCGCUCAGGCACAACGUUGUGCCAAUUCCUGCAUCAGACUUUUUGCGAAAGAAACUCUCUCCUUUGAUCUGCUGAUCUUUGAUCUUCUAAUUUGACUAAAGAUCCUGAAUUAAUGCUGCUGUGGUCUAUGGCUCUGCCCGCCUGACAGAUAUUCUUUUGUUCAGUGCACCGUCAAGACGAUCUGAUGAGCGGCUUUCUUGUGACUGGUUCGGUAGCAACCAUGUGCUCAGCACAGGGUAGACGGGAAGGUGACAGCAGUCCCUGUUCCAAGGAUUUGCCUAAUUAUAGAGCAGCAGCUCCUCUGCUGAUGUCAAUUGUCACAGCCCCGCUGGAAGGAACAGGCCAUAAAAAUUCACAUCGGCUGCAGACUCUUUGCGUCAGCCAAGAAUCUGCUGCAGCUUUGUCUCUCUAAUAAAUAAAUAUUUAUGUGGAUGGA